UAAGACCUGAAUAUCUGUUUAAAAAGUGGUGAUUUUAAAAUUGAAAGUUUUCAUUAUUAUCUCUUAGUUUGUAUCAGAAAGUUCAAAAUCAAACUUCCAACAUAAAUUUAAAUAUCCCAAAACUGUGUAGUUUUAGAAGUGAAGUAAUACGAUUGCUGCAUCCUCAGAUUUAACAAACAGACAACAUCCUCUGCAUUUUCCCCCAUCCACCCUCCCUGUCAAACUGGUAAGUGUUGCAGGAGAGCACGUAACAUUUCCUCCUCUCCCCGGCAACUCAAAAGAAGGCAACAAAAGACUCAGUAAUCAAGAACUAUUCUCUGAAUGAAAAGGUCCAAUUUUACAAGAUUUAUCACAAAGUCUCUCAUUCCUCAGCAGCCCUGGCACUCUUACUCUUCUACCUCACACAGACAUUUCUGGAAUGUGUUUCAGGCUGCUGGAGAGAAAAAAAAGGUAGUUCAGCAGGAAGCAGCAGAGGGUAAAGAAAUGAAGAAUCUGAAAUCGAUCCUCUUCCUGUCCUACACAGCACAACUUCUGUCAGAAGCAUCAAGCAGAGCAGGACUAUCCCCUUGUGCUGUGCUCAGCUCUUUUGAAUGCAUCCUUACCUGUUUUCUUGGUGUGCCUUCUCACCAAAAGCAGCUCAUCCCAUGCUAGCAGCAACUAAGACAGCCUCUCUUGACUGAGCUGUCUUCAUUCAUCCCCAAAUCCAGUUCUGCUUUAUCAAGCAUGCUGGUAAUGAAGCUGCUCACCUGCAGGAGCACCUCCACUUGUCUGUCAAGACACUAGGGAAUAAGUGAAAUGGAUGACAGCCUCACCCUGUGCAUGUCACGUCAGGAUUUCUUAAACCCUGGUUUCUCCAAACUUAUUAAGUGUAGUCUUACAGGGAAAGAAGAGAAUCCAACUUGGUAGCUGACUUUUUAUUUCAUUAAUAAAAUACUAUACCUCAAAUUCAUGUUUAAGCUUACUCCACACCUGAAUCUGGCACUCACAGCAAUACUUACACCAUAAGCUUAAAAAUAAACAUUAAAAACCACCAUAAACUUAAAAAUAAUAAUUAAAAACAUCACAUGGAAAGAGUAUGGGUGGAUUUAACACAGAAGCUGUGAAAAAAGAACAACACAUACUUGAAGAAUUCAGGAGCAGCUGCAAAGUCUGGAAAAAAAGCAGAUAAGAAAGUGCUGCACUUUUAAAAUCUGGAUUCAAACCAAAACAAUAACAUCAAUGAAAAACUGUAGAUGUCAGGCAGAUAAUCCUGCAGUCAGAAGACAUGUCCCUUCUCUCCAUCCCAUAAUCCUCUUGAAAGACUUCAGCCAGACACAGUCAAAUCCCAAAAGUGCUCAGACAGAAAAUGAAGGAAAAUUACUCAUAUGUAAACUUUACAAAACACUAAAAAUCUGAGUUAAGCAACAGAACUGCCUGGAAGUUAUUAGUGCAAUUAUUUGCGCUAAUUUAUCAGUAACAGUAGUGAUACAGUGAAAAGAUUAUAUCCUGCCCAAGACUCUGAACCAGCUGCAAUUUCUGCAUCUGUUGCACAGAAAUCAAACUCUGAACAGAAGUAAAACAUACCUAACAUGAUUCACUGUGACCACUUUAAAAAGUUAUCAAAUAUUAAGCUCAUAUGUAAUUCCCAUACAUUCACAGUGUUUUCUUAUUUUGUAAGGCUGGCACUUUUCCUCAGUGACUGACCCAACGGAGACAAUUAAGGGCACUUAAACUCAGAAGUGUAUUGGCACAAUUGAAAUAGACCUAGGAACAGUUCUUUCUAAGAUGUCACAUUGCAGAUGCUGUUAAAACCAACAGAAAAUAUUCCUGACUGGCUUAAAGCAAUUGGCAUCUCAAACUGGAAAAGGAAAUUAUCCCACUGCAAUGCAGACACAAUGAAGAUGCACACCCUUAAGGAACUAAUUUCCAUCAAUUCCAAAUGCAUUUUCCAUAAUGCAAAUGAAAAUGCUUUUGCCCAACAGCAUGCCAAAACAUGCACACAAAACCUGUAUCUUCAGUGCUCAUGUCACAAAGUGGAUGGUGCUUAGGUGGGGAAGGUGGCAAACCAUGAGAGAGAAAGUAAGGGAUAGGCUAAGUUACAAGUUUGUUUAAAUCCAGGAUUUGAAGAAGGUAUGAUCUAAUAGUUUGAAAAGUACUUCAAAUAUGCUUUUGAACAUGACAUAAGACUAAAAAGCCUAGGCUUUUUUGGCAUAGGAGGAUAUAAUUUUUUCUCCAGGAUUAUGGCAAUCCCACUAGGGUACCUAUGCUCAGCACAUCACACCCCAGCUACCCUGUAGCCUCAGAAUGCUCCGUCUGGCUGGCAUCCAUGCCAGACACUUCCACCCGCCACUUGCCACAGAUGUGCCCAAAUCCCAUCCCUGAUCACAGCCAGAUUCCACCCCAUGGCUGUGGCUUGGCUGAGAUGCUCCUAGGGUCUGGAGGACCAGCAGUGGGUAUGGGGAUCAGGAAGGAGAGAGCCACAAAGGAGAAAGCAGGAACACACAAGUGCUGGCUGGAAUAAAGUGUCUUCCUGUUCAUUCCAAGGACCUUUAAUUUCCUCUCACAGAUGGCAAGAUCACUGACAUAGAACCAAAAGUAAAACAGUUCAAGAGCAAGCCAGCAAUCUACAGUCCUGCAUUGUAUCAUGAGCUACUCAUGCAUUCGAUACUGCAUCAGAAGUACAUCACUGAGGCUACCAAGACAACCUGUCCACUGCUGGAUAAUGCAAGAAUUCGAGCUGUUGUACUGCAUCCAUUAGGCCAUCCAAUGGAGAUUGAUUUAUUGCAACAGAAUACACCCAACUAACUAUUAGUGAUAAUAAGCUAGAUUGCUUUUAGCCACCAAGUCCUGUGCAGCCUUAAUGCUUUAUUUAUCACAAACCUCUCAAAAGUGUGUCCUAAACUGACUUUUAU